UACGUAGGGUGCAAGCGUUGUCCGGAAUUAUUGGGCGUAAAGAGCUCGUAGGCGGUCUGUCGCGUCGGCUGUGAAAACCCGGGGCUCAACCCCGGGCCUGCAGUCGUUACGGGCAGACUAGAGUGCGGUAGGGGAGACUGGAAUUCCUGGUGUAGCGGUGAAAUGCGCAGAUAUCAGGAGGAACACCGGUGGCGAAGGCGGGUCUCUGGGCCGUAACUGACGCUGAGGAGCGAAAGCGUGGGGAGCGAACAGG
rnacentral:rRNA from 1 species